GAAAGAUCUCUCAAAUAUACUUCGAGGCAUCGUACAUCUCGUAGAGGGCUUGCCAAUGUUAGAGAGGACCUGAAAACUGAACUAGGUGUGGCAGAUGUAGAACGGUACCAAGUAUGGAUAAGAGCACGAGAAAAGAGGAAGGUUCUUGUUACAGAUUUGGACAAACAAAUUGAAGCAAGAAUUAAUGAGCUGAAAGAAAAAGUUAGUAGUGGAGAAAUCAUUGCAAAGGGUCGGAAUGACAUAUUAACGCAAGCUUUAGGGACACCUGAGCACCCAGGGCGUGUUA